rnacentral:tRNA from 1 species
GUGGUCGUAGCUCAGCUGGUAGAGCACCGGGUUGUGGUCCCGGAUGUCGCGGGUUCGAGCCCCGUCGAUCACC